rnacentral:rRNA from 1 species
UGCCAGCAGCCGCGGUAAUACGGAAGGAGCGAGCGUUAAUCGAAAUUACUGGGCGUAAAGCGCGCGUAGGCGGUUUUGUAAGUCGGAUGUGAAAGCCCUGGGCUCAACCUGGGAAUGGCAUUCGAUACUGCAGAACUAGAGUAUGGUAGAGGGAAGUGGAAUUUCCGGUGUAGCGGUGAAAUGCGUAGAUAUCGGAAGGAACACCAGUGGCGAAGGCGACUUCCUGGGCCAAUACUGACGCUGAGGUGCGAAAGCGUCGGGAGCAAACAGGAUCAGAUA